rnacentral:rRNA from 1 species
UACACACCGCCCGUCACACCGUGGGAGUUGGUUCUACCCGAAGAUGGUGCGCUAACCGCAAGGAGGCAGCCAGCCACGGUAGGGUCAGCGACUGGGGUG